rnacentral:rRNA from 1 species
CCCUUAGAUGUUCUGGGCUGCACGCGCGCUACACUGAUGCACUCAACGAGUUUACGACCUUGCCCGAUAGGGUUGGGUAAUCUUUUUAAAAUGCAUCGUGAUGGGGAUAGAUUAUUGCAAUUAUUAAUCUUCAACGAGGAAUUCCUAGUAAGUGCGAGUCAUCAGCUCGUGCUGAUUACGUCCCUGCCCUUUGUACACACCGCCCGUCGCUCCUACCGAUUGAGUGCUCAGGUGAAUAAUUCGGACUGCAGCAAUGUUUGGAUCCCGAACGUUGCAGCGGAAAGUUUAGUGAACCUUAUCACUUAGAGGAAGGAGAAGUCGUAACA